CCGCCCGUCACACCACGGGAGGUGGAGACGCCCGAAGCCGAUUAUCUAACCGUUUGGAAGAAGUCGUCGAAGGGGGAAUCAAUAACUGGGGUGAAGUCGUAACAAGGUAGCCGUAUCGGAAGGUGCGGCUGGAUCACCUCCUUUCUAAGGAGA
rnacentral:rRNA from 1 species